rnacentral:rRNA from 1 species
AACAUUUAGGAAUCUGCCUAGUAGUGGGGGAUAGCUCGGGGAAACUCGAAUUAAUACCGCAUACGACCUACGGGUGAAAGGGGGCGCAAGCUCUUGCUAUUAGAUGAGCCUAAAUCAGAUUAGCUAGUUGGUGGGGUAAAGGCCCACCAAGGCGACGAUCUGUAACUGGUCUGAGAGGAUGAUCAGUCACACCGGAACUGAGACACGGUCCGGACUCCUACGGGAGGCAGCAGUGGGGAAUAUUGGACAAUGGGGGCAACCCUGAUCCAGCCAUGCCGCGUGUGUGAAGAAGGCCUUUUGGUUGUAAAGCACUUUAAGCAGGGAGGAGAGGCUAAUGGUUAAUACCCAUUAGAUUAGACGUUACCUGCAGAAUAAGCACCGGCUAACUCUGUGCCAGCAGCCGCGGUAAUACAGAGGGUGCGAGCGUUAAUCGGAAUUACUGGGCGUAAAGCGAGUGUAGGUGGCUCAUUAAGUCACAUGUGAAAUCCCCGGGCUUAACCUGGGAACUGCAUGUGAUACUGGUGGUGCUAGAAUAUGUGAGAGGGAAGUAGAAUUCCAGGUGUAGCGGUGAAAUGCGUAGAGAUCUGGAGGAAUACCGAUGGCGAAGGCAGCUUCCUGGCAUAAUAUUGACACUGAGAUUCGAAAGCGUGGGUAGCAAACAGG